rnacentral:lncRNA from 1 species
GGAAACUGGAAACUGGCAUGGCUGAGCCAGGAGCAGCUGCUCGGGUUCGCUGAAGCUGAAGCUGAAGAUGGAAAUGGUAAUGGAGAGAUGGAGAAACGGAGUUGCAGAUGGAGCAGGGCCCCCAAGGAAACUGUUUAAAAAUUAUUGAAGGAGACACACUGAAAAAACAAUAAGAGAAUAACGACAAUUAGCGUGGCUGAGAACAAAGUUAAGCAUUUGAUGAAGCGCAGACGAGCG